CAAUAGCGUAUAUCUAAGUUGUUGCAGUUAAAAAGCUCGUAGUUGGAUGGAUGGUUUAAAAUAUAAUGUCAAUUCGAAAGGAUGUGUACAUGUGAUAUGUUUAGAUCAUAUAUUGUGAGAGAUUAUACCUGGCAUUAAGUUGUUGGAUAUAAAGUCUUGCAUCGUUUACUGUGAAAAAAUUAGAGUGUUUCAAGCAGGCGUUUAGCUUUUUGAAUACAUUAGCAUGGAAUAAUAAUAUAUGACUAGCGUGGUCUAUUUUGUUGGUUUGCACACGCAAGUAAUGAUUAAUAGGGACAGUUGGGGAUAUUCAUAUUUGAGCGUCAGAGGUGAAAUUCUUGGAUCGCUGAAAGAUGAGCUUAGGCGAAAGCAUUUAUCAUGGAUGUUUUCAUUAA
rnacentral:rRNA from 1 species